rnacentral:rRNA from 1 species
GCUACUGCGGGCCGAGCGGGGUGGGUAUUACGGAGGGUCCGGGGGUUAUCCGGAUUUAUUGGGUUUAAAGGGAGCGCAGGCCGGAAGCAAAGCGUGCCGUGAAAUGUAGAUGCUCAACAUCUGAAUUGCGGCGCGAACUGGUUUCCUUGAGUGCAUACGAGGUAGGCGGAAUUUGUGGUGUAGCGGUGAAAUGCUUAGAUAUCACGAAGAACUCCGAUUGCGAAAGCAGCAUGCUGGGGCAUAUCUGACGCUGAGUCACGAAAGUGCGGGUAUCAAACAGGAUUAGAUACCCUAGUAGUC